rnacentral:misc_RNA from 1 species
GGAAAUAAAAGUCGUAACAAGGUUUCCGUAGGUGAACCUGCGGAAGGAUCAUUAUCGUGGGGCUUCGGCCCUAUCGAGAUAGAACCCUUGCCUUUAUAGUACCUUCUGUUGCCUCGGCGUACGCUUCACCGCUGCGCCAAUGGGGCCAAACAAAAACCCUUUUUUUAUCAAGAAUUAGUCUGAAAAACAAACAAAAGUUAAAACUUUCAACAACGGAUCUCUUGGUUCUG